rnacentral:rRNA from 1 species
GAUGAACGCUGGCGGCGUGCUUAACACAUGCAAGUCGAACGGGAAUUACUUUAUUGAAACUUCGGUCGAUUUAAUUUAAUUCUAGUGGCGGACGGGUGAGUAACGCGUGGGUAACCUGCCUUGUACAGGGGGAUAACAGUCAGAAAUGACUGCUAAUACCGCAUAAGCGCACAGAGCUGCAUGGCUCAGUGUGAAAAACUCCGGUGGUAUAAGAUGGACCCGCGUUGGAUUAGCUAGUUGGUGAGGUAACGGCCCACCAAGGCGACGAUCCAUAGCCGGCCUGAGAUGGUGAACGGCCACAUUGGGACUGAGACACGGCCCAGACUCCUACGGGAGGCAGCAGUGGGGAAUAUUGCACAAUGGGGGAAACCCUGAUGCAGCGACGCCGCGUGAAGGAAGAAGUAUCUCGGUAUGUAAACUUCUAUCAGCAGGGAAGAAAAGGACGGUACCUGACUAAGGAGCCCCGGCUAACUACGUGCCAGCCGCCGCCGUAA